UACGAAGGGGGCGAGCGUUGUUCGGAUUUACUGGGCGUAAAGGGCGCGCAGGCGGCUCAUUUUGUCAGGCGUGAAAGCCCCGGGCUUAACCUGGGAACUGCGUUUGAUACGGAUGGGCUAGAGUUCGGGAGAGGAGAGUGGAAUUCCCAGUGUAGAGGUGAAAUUCGUAGAUAUUGGGAAGAACACCGGUGGCGAAGGCGGCGACCUGGGUCGAGACUGACGCUGAGGCGCGAAAGCGUGGGGAGCAAACAGG
rnacentral:rRNA from 1 species